rnacentral:rRNA from 1 species
AUUGAACGCUGGCGGCAGGCCUAACACAUGCAAGUCGAACGAGUGGCGGACGGGUGAGUAAUGUCGGGGAAACUGCCCGAUGGAGGGGGAUAACUACUGGAAACGGUAGCUACAACCGCAUACCAUCGGAUGUGCCCAGAUGGGAUUAGCUAGUAGGUGGGGUAACGGCUCACCUAGGCGACGAUCCCUAGCUGGUCGGAGAGGAUGACCAGCCACACUGGAACGGAGCCCCGGUCCAGACCCCUACGGGAGGCAGCAGUGGGGAAUAUUGCACAAUGGGGGCAAGCCUGAUGCGGCCAUGCGGCGUGGUUGAAGAAGGCCUUCGGGUUGUAAAGUACUUUCAGCGAGGAGGCGUUACUCGCAGAAGAAGCACCGGCUAACUCCGUGCCAGCAGCCGCGGUAAUAC